UGAGAGUAAUAUAGUUGAAUC
rnacentral:siRNA from 1 species